GAGUGUGUAUGUGUGUGUAUAUAUAUGUAUAUGAAUGCGCUUAUAACCUAUAUUGGCACAAUAACCUGAAUCUCACUGCUUUUUCAUACUCAUGGUGAAUUCACCAGCACAGGUGAAGUUUUGCCUGCUGCAUUACACAGGACAUCAACCCAGAAAUCCCACCAGCCCCACGGGUGCACUUGUGGCUGAUUUUAGCUGCACCAGGGGCUUCCCAAACAAGCCUUGUCUCUCCCCUGCUGCCAAAGUAUCAGUCCUGCCUGCUAAGCCAGGUGUCUUCUGGGAGUCUGAUGGUGCCUUUGUGGAGAAAAUGUUCAUCUGGGAAUCUGGGUUCUCUUUAAUAUAUGAAACAUCCUGAUUUUAAACCAGAAUUGUAUUUAGAUAUUCCAAAGAAUUGUUUGAAUGUUCUUGAUAUCUGUGGUAAAAAUUGUCGGGAGGUAGUAAUCAGUUUCUUAAGUUUCCCUCUCUUUUAUUUAAAGAGUAAAAGUGAACUUGCACAGUAAACAACACCUGUUGGCCCGUUUGAGACUUGACUGGAGAAAGUGAUACCUUUUUGGUCUUGCAACUGCUUAGAUCUAGGGAAGUGUAGUGUUCCUUGGUUGCGGAAAAUUACAUGUUUAGUUGUAUAAAAUGAGGUUGUAUUCAGCUCUUCCUGUUCUGUUACAAAGCCUACAUUUUUCCUGGAAGUAGUGGAGAAUUUCGCAGGGGGGAAGAAAAAGGGUAUUUCAAGAAACAAAGUACACAAAAUGAGAAUAGAGAAGAAAGAAAUUACACAUUAAAGGGCAGUAGUUGCAUCUGAAGAGAGAUGAGUAAUAAUAUUUGAAAGAAAAAUGCUCUAAUGUUGGCUUAACUAGACUACUAGCCUACAGUAUAAUUGGAUAGCAAUCUGCUUUUAACAAAUAAAGGUAAUUUUUGUUUCAUCAAGCAAAACUUACUUUGUUAGUAGCUAAAAUGUACCAAGCUUUUUAGAAACAGCAAAUAUCAAUUUGGAGACUUAAAGUUGCAUGAAUAGCAUGAAUAUCAUAUUAAUUAUUUCUUUUCCAUGUGUUCUUGUUUACAGACCAGUCUUUCCAUAUGGGGAUGGGGAAGUCUUGGCCUUGUGCUUUUUCUAGUAACUUUUGGACCCUUCGCUAUAUUUUACUUUGCAUUUUAUAUCCUCUGCUUUGUGGGUGGGGGUUUUGUGGUUACUCUUUUAUUUGGAAAAAGCAACUCAGAAAAAUACCUUGAGCAGUGUGAACAUUCGUUUCUUCCUUGUACAUCGGUUGGGAUCCCUAAGUGCAUAGAAGAAAUGAAACGUGAAGCCAGACCAAUUAAGAUUGACAGAAGACUGACAGGUGCGAAUAUAAUUGAUGAGCCUUUGCAGCAGGUAAUCCAGUUUUCUCUGAGAGACUAUGUGCAGUAUUGGUAUUACACACUAAGUGAUGAUGAAUCGUUCCUUCUGGAAAUCAGGCAGGCUCUUCAGUAUGCACUUGUUCAGUUUUCUGCCAGGUCAAAGGAAACAGACUGGCAGCCUUAUUUCACUACACGACUUGUUGAUGACUUUGGCACUCAUCUUCGAGUUUUCAGAAAAGCUCAGCAAAGAAUAGCAGAGAAAGGCGAUCAGAUGAAAGAUCAAGCUGAGGAACUUGUAGAUACAUUCUUUGAGGUUGAAGUUGAAAUGGAAAAAGAAGUCUGUCGUGAUCUAGUCUGCACUUCUCCCAAAGAUGAAGAAGGAUUCCUAAGGGAUCUGUGUGAGGUUUUACUGUAUAUAUUGCUACCUCCUGGAGACUUCCAGAACAAGAUCAUGCGAUACUUUGUCAGGGAAAUCCUCUCCCGAGGAAUUCUUCUUCCAUUAAUAAACCAGCUCAGUGAUCCUGAUUAUAUUAAUCAGUAUGUCAUAUGGAUGAUUCGUGAUUCCAACUGUAACUAUGAGGCCUUUAUGAAUAUUAUUAAAUUAAGUGAUAAUAUAGGAGAGUUGGAAGCAGUGAAAGAUAAAGCAAGUGAAGAACUUCAGUAUCUUCGAUCUCUAGAUACAGCCGGAGAUGAUAUCAACACUAUAAAAAAUCAAAUAAACAGUUUAUUAUAUGUUAUUAAAGUAUGUGAUUCAAGAAUUCAGAGGUUGCAGUCAGGAAAAGAAAUAGAUACUGUGAAACUGGCAGCAAACUUUGGAAAACUUUGCACAGUCCCUCUGGACCAUAUUCUGGUAGACAAUGUUGCACUACAAUUUUUUAUGGAUUACAUGCAGCAGACUGGUGGCCAAGCACAUCUGUUUUUCUGGAUGACAGUGGAAGGAUACAGGGUUACGGCACAGCAACAGCUGGAGGUACUUCAAAGCCGGCAAAAAGAUGGAAAACAUCAGACUAAUCAAACCAAGGGUCUAUUAAGAGCAGCUGCAUUUGGAGUUUAUGAGCAAUAUUUAUCAGAAAAGGCAUCUCCGAGAGUUAAUAUUGAUGACAACUUAGUAGCAAAACUGGCAGAAACACUGAACCAUGAAGAUCCAACACCCGAAAUCUUUGAUGAUAUUCAGAGAAAGGUGUAUGAAUUGAUGCUGCGAGAUGAAAGAUUCUACCCUUCGUUCAAACAGAAUGUGUUGUAUGUGCGUAUGUUAGCUGAGCUGGAUAUGCUGAAGGAUCCUAGUUUCAGGGGGUCGGACGACGGUGAAGGAGAAUCAUUUAACGGGUCUCCUACUGGCAGCAUAAAUCUGUCCUUAGAUGACCUUUCAAAUGUCCCUUCUGAUGAGACGGUUCAACUUCAUGCAUACAUCUCAGAUACUGCACUCAACAUUCUUCUUCUAGAGGGUAGAUGGCAAAGAAAAGAUGCUCCAUGCCCACUGUGCACCUUGCCAUCUAUGCUGACUCUGACCCAUAUGCUGUGGCAGGAGUGUGUAAUGACCAUGGCAAGACAUAUGCACUGUAUGCUAUCACAGUCCAUCGGAGAAAUCCAAACAGCGAAGAGACAUGGAAGACAUAUCGACGCUACAGUGACUUCCAUGACUUUCACAUGAGGAUCACUGAGCAGUUUGAAAACCUCGCAAAUAUACUGAAACUUCCUGGCAAAAAGACAUUUAACAAUAUGGACAGAGAAUUCUUGGAAAAGAGGAAAAAAGAUUUAAAUGCAUAUUUGCAGCUCUUGUUAAAUCCGGAAAUGAUGAAAGCUUCUCCAGCUUUAGCCCACUAUGUGUAUGACUUCCUGGAGAAUAAAGCCUACAGCAAAGGGAAGGGGGAUUUUGCACGGAAGAUGGACACAUUUGUAAACCCACUGCGUAAUUCUAUGAGAAAUGUAUCAAACGCAGUCAAGUCUCUCCCUGACAGCCUGGCAGAGGGAAUGACUAAAAUGUCAGACAACAUGGGUAAAAUGUCAGAGAGAUUGGGACAAGACAUAAAGCAAUCAUUUUUCAAGGUGCCUCCUUUGAUCCAGAAAACCUAUUCAGAUCCUGACCAUUGCCGUGUUGCAGCACCAAUUGAUGACAAUGUGGAUGACAAUAUUCCACUGAGAGUAAUGCUCCUCCUUAUGGAUGAAGUCUUUGAUUUAAAGGAAAGAAAUCAGUGGUUAAGAAGAAAUAUAAAAAAUCUGCUUCAGCAACUUAUUAGAGCAACAUAUGGUGACACAAUUAAUAGAAAAAUAGUUGAUCAUGUUGAUUGGAUGACAUCUCCUGAGCAAGUAGCAGAUGCGGUGAAACGCUUCAGAGAUGCUUUCUGGCCCAAUGGCAUUUUAGCAGAGACAGUUCCACGGAGGGACAAAGCUAUUAGAAUGAGAACAAGAGUGGCAGGGAAGACCAAAUUACUGGAGGUAAUGCCAGACGAACUGAAGCACAUCAUCGGCGCUGAGACUACACGGAAAGGCAUUCUUCGGGUCUUUGAAAUGUUCCAGCACACUCAGCUGAACAAGAGAAUGGUGUAUGUGUUUCUGGAGAGAUUCCUAGAAACCUUAUUUCCACAAAAUAAGUUCCCUGAGCUCUUCAGCAAACUGCAUUCACGGUCAAAGCAGAUGCAGAGGUAUAAGCAGAGACUACAUUCUACUCAAGCGCCUUCCUUACAGAAAAGGUGACACUUCAAACCUACAAAGCUGGUGUAUGUUUGUCCAGGACUAAUUACUUGGGCAGAUUCUCUGGGGCUUCAAACUCACAUGCUGUUAUUUCUGCACCAGUCUUUUAGUGUCACAUAUUAGAUUAUUAAUGCAUCUGUAAGACCUGUGGAUCUUCUCAUCUUCACUUGUAAUUCAACCACUACCAGAAGGGUUUGUGUGUCUUAAAUGAUUUGGUGCGUCUUCAUGCAACAUUGAGAGGAAUACUGGCCCAAUAUAUAAGAAUGCUGAUUCCUUCCGUUCCUGAGUCCAUGUUUUGCCAGCAAUGAAAAGUGCCAGACUGCUCAAGUAAAGCACAACUAUGGUGACACAAUGGAAGAAAAGGAUGUUUUGGCACUGGGAGAUAGUGCAAUGUGUGAGAAUCAGGUGGAAUUGUUCUACAUUAUGACUGUUGAGGCUCUGUAGGGCUCUCUUAACAUUCCUGUAAAGACUGAGCUAACAGGAAAAGCAGUCUCUGGAAUAGCAGAUUCAUAGGAGAGGGGAGAAAUAGUUAUAGCCCCAUUGUAAAAGUACAUUUGUUAAAGAAAAAUAGAAGUAAUGUGGCUUUUAUGCCCCGUUUCCAACACUUUUCAUGUUUUGAAAAAUAAACUAACAUUAGAUCUAAUGGGAGGUUUAGUAAAGGCAGAGGUGCAGUAGAAACAAACCCUUUAUUUUGAUUAUUCUGUAGCUUUAAGGGCCAUAUUCUGCUCUUGCAGCACCUGGCAUAGAUUUUGCAUGUAACUUCAGUGGAGAAGUGGCAUCAUAUUUGUAUUCAAUUGACAUAUUUGAACAUAUGUCAAGUUGAUAGUUGUAGAAGGAAUGGGGUACAUGUUAAAAAGAGGAUAGACGUGUUAGAAGAUGAGGAAAUUGCACUAAGACACAGUUUACACACAACUCCCCACUAAAUUCUGAAACUUCUUUUGAAUGUGAAAAACUAUGCCCUACUUAAUUGAAAGAUUCCUUACCUUUUAGUGUGUAAGCGUCGAAUGGAAAAAUGUUAAAUUAGUUGGUUCCUCACAGGUAAAAGAUUUCAUUAGUCAUAUGCAAACACUUGGAAAUUCCUGAACGCAUCUCAGUGUAUAUAUGAAAAUAAAAAUGAGAAAAAACUACAAUAUUUUUUUAAAUAUUUUUUUUAUUUUUUUGCAUAGUGUAAAAUUUUAAUAUAAAUUUGACAUCAAGGCCCCACAUCCAUCUGUUUAGUUUCAGUGAAGAAUUUCUGUCCAAUUAAAAAUAAAGUAACAACCAAAUAAUCCUGUUUGGCCACAGCAUAUCUCAGUUUGUGUUUUCCAUAGUCCCCUACUGUUUGAGCACCACUAUCUGGAUAUAAAUAGGAACUAAUCCUACAGAGUCCGUUCUUUUUCUGAACACGAAGCGCAGGGUAAGAUACAGCAAUUGAUCAAGGAUCCCUAUAGCAAUUUGUGUCAUAAUGGGAACAAAUGAUCCUUUCACAUGAUGGAGGAACAUAGAACUUCUAUGAAAGCGUUCUAAGAGAAGACAAGAAAGCUCUCAAAGGACCUAGUUAAAUUGACUGAAACCUCUAUAUAGAUCAUUUUUUCUCAUGGACUCUAAUGCAAUGUAGCCUUUUAUCAUACUACUUAAUGAUGAUCAUCUUGUACUGUUAACAUUCUCAUACAGUAUGCAUGGGCUCAAGUGCACUUGGGUUUUGUUUUUUUUUUUCUUUAUUGCAGAACUAAAUACUAUAAAUGAAAUCCCUUUCUUUUAUAGUCCCUAGGAAGACAAGUUGGUUAAAUAUGUAAGAACCCUUCCCCCUUCCUCUCUGCAGGUUCUGUAGAAGUGUGUUGAAUUUAACAAGAUUAUUGAGUUCUAUGUUAAGUAAUCAGCGUAGCCAGCUCCUGUUGUUUACAAGCCUGUAUUUUCCUCUGAUGUCAGGGUGCUCAAGCAUUCCUGGUAUCUGACUGAUGGCGAUAUAGCAAAUAUAUCCUUGAGCCUAUCAAAUCUAAUUUAUGGCUUUUAAAUCACUGAAUUUGUUAGCAGUAUGAAAGCGGGAAGUUCAAAUACUGUUUUGUCAAAUCUGUGGAACCUUUUAUCUAUCUGUAGGUACCAUGAAAAAUUUCAAGAGAAUCGUGAUAAUGUGCAAAUUUGGGAUUUCUUUUUUUUUUCCUUUUUUUUUUAAAGUAUCUGGUACAUUUCUGUACAAAAAUAAAAUAAUAUCUCUAGGAAUGUGAACUGAACAUAAUACGCCAUGUUUAUUAGUUUUACUUAAUGAAUUUAUUACAUAUAUAUACUUAUACACACACUUGUAUACCUAUGUGUGCAUAUGUAUAUAUGUAUUGAAGUUUUGUCUUCUGUAUUUAAUUACAGAGUGUGGCUUCCUAAUUCAAUGGUGCCUGUUGGCUGACAAGAAUAAUCAGAAAUGAAUCCUUUUUAUUAAAAAGAAUUUGUGUGUAUCUCUAUUUAAAUGGUUUUCCUGUUGACAGCUUAAAAUACCUACUCUGUCAACCCAAGCAGCCUGUUAUCCUAGAAAGUUUCCAAAACUGAAUGUUGAUAUACAGCACUUAAGUGCGUGCGUGUAUCUUCUGGCCUUUGAGUGCUGUGACUGGCUGCACAGAAUUGUGCCAUUGUCAACAAAUGCACUUGUUUUAGCCUUAAUUAUUUUUAAGAGGAAACGAGUAAUUGAAUUUUUCAUUUGGUUCAUCCUCAAGCUUGUGCUGCUGGUGUUUGCUAGAACUAAACAGUAAAUUUUAAGUGCUACCAGAAUGUGUACCAAAAUAAAAAUAUAUGAAUUCCACAAUCUAAAUUUUAAUUUUGUGCAAUAUUUUCAUUUAAUGCAUGUGUAUUUGAAUAACUGUAAAAUAAAUGAAUUUUUAAUGUUUUGAAGUCUAGGUUAAAAAUAUCUUCUCAGCUGAACAAUUUUGCAUUCUGUUGUUGCGUUAGUUUAUUUAAGGACUUGUUUUAAAAGUCUUAUUUGUUACUCCUUUGUUAAUUUUGCCCUUGUUCUCAAUGAUCCUUGCUCGUCUGAGCAAAGUUCAUAUAUUACAAGGGAGAAAUCUGAAGAGCACAUCUCAUGAAUAUAGCUGUUAUGAAUUACUUGUGCAUAUCAUUGUACAGUAAGUGUCAGCUGUGUGCCUAAUUGUUCUAUUGAUGCUUUUUCCCUCCCUUCCCCUUCCUCUCGUUUCUGUAACAAAGAAUGAACACGAACCAGGCUGCCAUGGUCACUUCUACUGAAUGGCAGAGGACUCUGAAUUUUUUUUGGAGUUUGCAUUUAUGUUCUGUCCAAUAGAAAGCUAAAAAAUUACACUAAUAAAGUAUUAACAGGAUUA